GACGUAGGGGGCCAGCGUUGUUCGGAAUUACUGGGUGUAAAGGGUUCGUAGGCGGUGUGGCAAGUCGGGAGUGAAAUCUCUGGGCUCAACUCAGAGACUGCUUCCGAAACUGCUGUGCUGGAGUGUGGGAGAGGCGCGUGGAAUUGCAGGUGUAGCGGUGAAAUGCGUAGAUAUCUGCAGGAACACCCGUGGCGAAAGCGGCGCGCUGGACCACUACUGACGCUGGAGGAACGAAAGCUAGGGGAGCAAACAGG
rnacentral:rRNA from 1 species